rnacentral:rRNA from 1 species
AUUGAACGCUGGCGGCAUGCUUUACACAUGCAAGUCGAACGGCAGCACAGUCUUCGGCCUCUCGGAGGGUUGGCGACGGGCGAGUGAUGCAUCGAAACGUGCCCAUCUAUUUGUGCUAGGCCGGCGACGUCCGGAAUCAUACCCUAUUACACCAUAGGGUGUACGCGUGAGAGCGAAAGACCUCGCGCUAUUGCGCGGGCCGAUGUCGGAUUAGCUAGUUGGUGGGGUAAAGGCUUACCAAGGCGACGAUCCGUAGCUGGUCUGAGAGGAUGACCAGCCACACUGGGACUGAGACACGGCCCAGACUCCUACGGGAGGCAGCAGUGGGGAAUUUUGGACAAAGGGGGCAAGCCUGAUCCAGCCAUGCCGCGUGCGGGAAGAAGGCCUUCGGGUUGUAAAGCGCUUUUGUUCGGGAAGAAAAGCUGUGGGCUAAUACCCCGGGGUUAUGACGGUACCGAAAGAAUAAGCACCGGCUAACUACGUG